rnacentral:rRNA from 1 species
GGGUUGUGAGGUUAAGCGACUAAGCGUACACGGUGGAUGCCCUGGCAGUCAGAGGCGAUGAAGGGCGUGCUAAUCUGCGAUAAGCGCCGGUAAGGUGAUAUGAACCGUUAUAACCGGCGAUACCCGAAUGGGGAAACCCAGUGUGAUUCGUCACACUAUCAUUAACUGAAUCCAUAGGUUAAUGAGGCGAACCGGGGGAACUGAAACAUCUAAGUACCCCGAGGAAAAGAAAUCAACCGAGAUUCCCCCAGUAGCGGCGAGCGAACGGGGAGGAGCCCAGAGCCUGAAUCAGCAUGUGUGUUAGUGGAAGCGUCUGGAAAGGCGCGCGAUACAGGGUGACAGCCCCGUACACAAAAGCGCAUGUGCUGUGAGCUCGAUGAGUAGGGCGGGACACGUGGUAUCCUGUCUGAAUAUGGGGGGACCAUCCUCCAAGGCUAAAUACUCCUGACUGACCGAUAGUGAACCAGUACCGUGAGGGAAAGGCGAAAAGAACCCCGGCGAGGGGAGUGAAAAAGAACCUGAAACCGUGUACGUACAAGCAGUGGGAGCNNNNNNNNNNNNNNNNNNNNNNNNNNNNNNNNNNNNNNNNNNNNNNNNNNNNNNNNNNNNGGGCGUUAAGUUGCAGGGUAUAGACCCGAAACCCGGUGAUCUAGCCAUGGGCAGGUUGAAGGUUGGGUAACACUAACUGGAGGACCGAACCGACUAAUGUUGAAAAAUUAGCGGAUGACCUGUGGCUGGGGGUGAAAGGCCAAUCAAACCGGGAGAUAGCUGGUUCUCCCCGAAAGCUAUUUAGGUAGCGCCUCGUGAAUUCAUCUCCGGGGGUAGAGCACUGUUUCGGCUAGGGGGCCAUCCCGGCUUACCAACCCGAUGCAAACUGCGAAUACCGGAGAAUGUUAUCACGGGAGACACACGGCGGGUGCUAACGUCCGUCGUGAAGAGGGAAACAACCCAGACCGCCAGCUAAGGUCCCAAAGUCAUGGUUAAGUGGGAAACGAUGUGGGAAGGCCCAGACAGCCAGGAUGUUGGCUUAGAAGCAGCCAUCAUUUAAAGAAAGCGUAAUAGCUCACUGGUCGAGUCGGCCUGCGCGGAAGAUGUAACGGGGCUAAACCAUGCACCGAAGCUGCGGCAGCGACACUGUGUGUUGUUGGGUAGGGGAGCGUUCUGUAAGCCUGCGAAGGUGGCCUGUGAGGGUUGCUGGAGGUAUCAGAAGUGCGAAUGCUGACAUAAGUAACGAUAAAGCGGGUGAAAAGCCCGCUCGCCGGAAGACCAAGGGUUCCUGUCCAACGUUAAUCGGGGCAGGGUGAGUCGACCCCUAAGGCGAGGCCGAAAGGCGUAGUCGAUGGGAAACGGGUUAAUAUUCCCGUACUUGGUGUUACUGCGAAGGGGGGACGGAGAAGGCUAUGUUGGCCGGGCGACGGUUGUCCCGGUUUAAGCGUGUAGGUGUGUGUUCCAGGUAAAUCCGGUUCACUUUAACACUGAGGCGUGACGACGAGGCACUACGGUGCUGAAGCAACAAAUGCCCUGCUUCCAGGAAAAGCCUCUAAGCAUCAGGUAACAUCAAAUCGUACCCCAAACCGACACAGGUGGUCAGGUAGAGAAUACCAAGGCGCUUGAGAGAACUCGGGUGAAGGAACUAGGCAAAAUGGUGCCGUAACUUCGGGAGAAGGCACGCUGACACGUAGGUGAAGUGAUUUACUCAUGGAGCUGAAGUCAGUCGAAGAUACCAGCUGGCUGCAACUGUUUAUUAAAAACACAGCACUGUGCAAACACGAAAGUGGACGUAUACGGUGUGACGCCUGCCCGGUGCCGGAAGGUUAAUUGAUGGGGUCAGCGCAAGCGAAGCUCCUGAUCGAAGCCCCGGUAAACGGCGGCCGUAACUAUAACGGUCCUAAGGUAGCGAAAUUCCUUGUCGGGUAAGUUCCGACCUGCACGAAUGGCGUAAUGAUGGCCAGGCUGUCUCCACCCGAGACUCAGUGAAAUUGAACUCGCUGUGAAGAUGCAGUGUACCCGCGGCAAGACGGAAAGACCCCGUGAACCUUUACUAUAGCUUGACACUGAACAUUGAGCCUUGAUGUGUAGGAUAGGUGGGAGGCUUUGAAGUGUGGACGCCAGUCUGCAUGGAGCCGACCUUGAAAUACCACCCUUUAAUGUUUGAUGUUCUAACGUGGACCCGUUACCCGGGUUGCGGACAGUGUCUGGUGGGUAGUUUGACUGGGGCGGUCUCCUCCUAAAGAGUAACGGAGGAGCACGAAGGUUGGCUAAUCCUGGUCGGACAUCAGGAGGUUAGUGCAAUGGCAUAAGCCAGCUUGACUGCGAGCGUGACGGCGCGAGCAGGUGCGAAAGCAGGUCAUAGUGAUCCGGUGGUUCUGAAUGGAAGGGCCAUCGCUCAACGGAUAAAAGGUACUCCGGGGAUAACAGGCUGAUACCGCCCAAGAGUUCAUAUCGACGGCGGUGUUUGGCACCUCGAUGUCGGCUCAUCACAUCCUGGGGCUGAAGUAGGUCCCAAGGGUAUGGCUGUUCGCCAUUUAAAGUGGUACGCGAGCUGGGUUUAGAACGUCGUGAGACAGUUCGGUCCCUAUCUGCCGUGGGCGCUGGAGAACUGAGGGGGGCUGCUCCUAGUACGAGAGGACCGGAGUGGACGCAUCACUGGUGUUCGGGUUGUCAUGCCAAUGGCACUGCCCGGUAGCUAAAUGCGGAAGAGAUAAGUGCUGAAAGCAUCUAAGCACGAAACUUGCCCCGAGAUGAGUUCUCCCUGAGACUUAAAGUCUCCUGAAGGAACGUUGAAGACGACGACGUUGAUAGGCCGGGUGUGUAAGCGCAGCGAUGCGUUGAGCUAACCGGUACUAAUGAACCGUGAGGCUUAACCUUACAACGCCGAAG